UUGUCAGCCAUCUAAACUGUAAUUCAGUGGGCAAUUUGAUUGACGCCAAAUCAGAAGGGGCGGGGCUUAGGACAUGCGUCGGUACGGAAGGCUAGGUGGUAGGAGGAAGCAGACGACACAAUGGCAGAAGAAACCCUCGGUGCAUUCGCCAUAGCGAAGAUCGCCCUAGCAGGCGCCUCGGCGGGGUUUGCCUUGGGGGACGCGGCGCUGAUGGCGGUGGACCCUGGCCUGAUCGCCAACGGCCCUCUGGGCAGCGCCACGGGCCUGGCCAUGGUGGCGGACAAGGUGGGCUCCACGGGCGUGGCCGGCGUGAUGGCGAGCCUCGUGUUCGCCGCCACCUUCUUCUCCCUGGGCUUCGGCUUCAACCUCGCCUCCCUGCUGAUGUCCAUCCUGGCGCGGUGCGGCGCGCCGCACGACGGCCGUCUGACGGACGGCGCGGCCGGAGCCUUCACCGCCGUGGGGGCGGUGGCGGCCGGCUUACUGGGCGGCCUGGCCCCGGCGUGGUGCCUCCUGGGGGCCGGGUGCGUGCUGGUGCUGUCGACGUACGUCCGGACGGACGUGAACGAGACGGCCACCGCCCUGCUGGUCAUCUACGUCACGCUGCACGCCAACGCCGUGCUGGGCCGCAUGGGCGUCCUGCUGGGGCUGUUCGCCACGGCCAUGAGCGUCUCGUUCAUCGUGGGCCUCCGCAAGUUCCUGAGGCAGCGCUGGGCGCCGCCGCCGCCGUCGGACCGCCGGCCCGGCGGCCUGCUGGGGAAGCUGUCGCUGAGCGUGGUGGUCGUGGCCUUUCUGGGCUUCCCCAUCGGCCUGGGCAUCGGCGGGAAACCCGUGGUUGAAGCGGGCGCCGAUGGAGCGGCGGCGGCGGCGGGCGGGGAGGCGGAGGUGGCGUUGCUGCUGGAGGCGGUGUUCUGGGUGGGGGUCCUAUUCGCCCCCCUGCUGGGCGCCUCCCUGGGCACCAUGGGCGCCGUGGGCCUGGGGACCGAGGGCGCGGCCCGCACGGCCAUGGCGGCGGCGGCGGCGUCCUGCCUCGCCCUGGGCGUGGUCCUCCCGGCCUGCACGGGGGCGGGGUCCCGCAGCUGCCUGGGGGGGAUCCUGGGGGCGGCGGCGGCCACGGGGCUGGCCCUGGCGGCGUCCCGCGUGGCGUUGAAGGCGGAGCACCGGGCCACCAACGUGGUACCAGCUCCUGGCGUCGGCCCUCACCGUGUCCCUCGUCGCCACCAUGGCGUUCUUCUGCGGGGCCCCCAGGAGCCCCUUUAACCUGCAGUACGGGCCGGGCACGGGCGCAGACCUGAUGAGGCAGCUCGGCAAGGAGACGGUUUCCACGGGAGCGGCGCCGUUCGGGGCCGGGGCCCUCGGGGCCGCCGCGCUGGGCACGGCGGCCCUCGGGAGCCUGGGGGCGGUGGGCGUGGCCAUCGCCGUCGCGCUGGCGCUCGGAAAGACUCUGAAGAGCAUGGCGGAGCAGCCGGUGAAGGCUGCGGCGGCCACGCACGACGACUGAGGGACGGGCGGACGGUUGGGCUGUUGGGACUGGAACGAACCAAUAGGUCUGAGAAUGAGGGGGAUACCACGCACUUGUUAAACGCACGGUCUCACUCACACACACAAUAUUUGUGUUUGAUUGUUUGUUUGUCUUUGUGGCGAUGCAUGUACACGCUUUUAAGCAUUAAUUUGUUUUCAAAUAAAAUUAUUAUUGUUGUUAUUCUUCACGUGAGAAUAAACGAAAAAAAAGAAAAUCAUCUGUUAUUUUUGUGAAAAUCUAAAUCCAGGGAAGAAUUUAUAUAUUGCUGGAUACUAUUCGAAUCAAGGAUACCAUAAGCGAUAACGAUAAAAAAAUGCUUAAUCACUUAUUAAAUUGGUAACUUAUAAAAUAAAUAUGUAAGACUCAAAUAUUACGGUAGAAGGUAGAACCUCUAAAUUUCACUUUUCUAUUACAAUGCUUCUAGUUCCUCUCUAGACCCACUUGCCUUCUGGCAGUUUGGUUUCAACAUGGCAACAGUAUCAAAGGUCUUGUUAUUUGAGACAAGUUGGUGUGGGCGGG
rnacentral:lncRNA from 1 species